AGACGUGGCUAAAAGCCGGUAAAGUACGGGUACAAAACGUCGGCAGGUAGUCGUGGGAGAUACAUACGUUGUACUUUGGUCGUUUAACUUAUGUUAUUGUGUCAUUGGUAAUAUCGAUAAUAUUUUCUCAUUUGUGAUUUUCUUGCUGUUAAUUUUAAAAGAUGCCAAGGAGCAAUAAAAGGUUUAAAGCAACUGUAGCUGUUACAUAUCAUGAUGAGGAUGGCCAUGUUGAGAGAGAGAAGGUGCAUUUGUCAGAAUUGGUUACUGAGGAUCAUAGAGGAAGCUGUUCUUUUAACAGUCCUGAUAUUUGUGGUGCAUUGGAAGGCCAUGAACUGGGAAUGGAACAAGAUAACAGUGAUCUUGAAAGUGAUGUUCACCAUGAUUGUGAAGAAUCAUGUUCUUAUUACCAGAAAGUUGAAAGAAAACAAAAAGCAUGGGAAAAUUUGCAACAUUCAAUUAUAAAGAAUACAUUUCAGUUUGCUGGCAAAAAUUGGAGCAAUCUGAAGUGUAUUUAUUGUGAUAAUGAAGCAAAGUUUAGGUGCAGUGAUUGUGGUCCAAUGGCGAAGUAUUGUGAGAACUAUAUGUUAAAGAUGCACACAACCGUAAAUAUUUGUCAUCAUGUUGAAAUAUUUAAGGAUGGCAUGUUUUGGCCAUAUAAACUCAUGAACAUGCUGGUGUAUGAUUUUUCAUGCCAAACAGCUCGUCACAAAAGAAGUGUUUCUGUUGUUGAUGUUAAAGGGAUGUUAUAUGUGAAGUGUGCUGCAAAAGUUAUUUCAUUUUAGCUGGGAUGGUUAAACACAAUCCUAAUUUUGGAUCUUUUUCAAUUUUUAGUCACCUUUUGUACUGUUGAGGUACAGUUUUGCUCAUGCUCUCCAGAGUUUGUUCAACUUCUGCAAUUUGGCCUUUGGGGUGGAACACCUACAAAACCAAGAAUUGCAUUUGCAAUGGAGUUUUUUGAAUUAAUUCAUUCUGUGCAGAUGGAAUUCCAGGCAUCAAUAAAAAGCAUUUGUCAGUCAUUUGAAGAGUUAAUCAUAACCACAUAUUCUCUUCUUAUGCAACACCAAUAAUGUAUCCUGUCAUUAUAGAUGCUUUUGAAGAAUAUAGAAUUUGCAGACAUAAACUAAACAUGUUGAGCUGUGUUAUUCCUGAGCUUGAUGAAGGAAAUAUCUGUCCUACUUGUCCCAAAGAAAAAGCUGGCAGAGUUUUGGAAAACCUCUAUUUGGACAGCUGAUGUUCUAUGAUCAGACACAUGUUGAUCAAUUUGUUGCCAAUUAUACCACACCUACAUCAAACAAGG